rnacentral:rRNA from 1 species
GUAGUCCACGCCGUAAACGGUGGGUGCUAGUUGUGGGCCACAUUCCACGUGGUCCGUGACGAAGUUAACACAUUAAGCACCCCGCCUGGGGAGUACGGCCGCAAGGCUAAAACUCAAAGGAAUUGACGGGGGCCCGCACAAGCGGCGGAGCAUGCGGAUUAAUUCGAUGCAACGCGAAGAACCUUACCAAGGCUUGACAUAUAGAGGAAAAGUGCAGAAAUGUACUCCCCGCAAGGUCUCUAUACAGGUGGUGCAUGGUUGUCGUCAGCUCGUGUCGUGAGAUGUUGGGUUAAGUCCCGCAACGAGCGCAACCCUCGUCCUAUGUUGCCAGCACGUAAUGGUGGGAACUCAUGGGAUACUGCCGGGGUCAACUCGGAGGAAGGUGGGGAUGACGUCAAAUCAUCAUGCCCCUUAUGUCUUGGGCUUCACGCAUGCUACAAUGGCCGGUACAGAGGGCUGCAAUACCGUAAGGUGGAGCGAAUCCCAAAAAGCCGGUCUCAGUUCGGAUUGAGGUCUGCAACUCGACCUCAUGAAGUCGGAGUCGCUAGUAAUCGUAGAUCAGCAACGCUACGGUGAAUACGUUCCCGGGCCUUGUACACACCGCCCGUCAAGUCACGAAAGUCGGUAACACCCGAAGCCGGUGGCCUAACCGUAAGGAGGGAGCCG